AUGGCUCUGAAUGAACUUUAUUUUACUCUUUGCAAACUGGAAACCAUUUAUCCGGAGGCUGCAUUCAUUGUAGCUGGGGAUUUUAACAAAGCUAAUCUGAAAACAAGACUCCCUAAAUUUGAUCAGCAUAUCGAUUGCGCAACCAUAUCGAUUGCGCAACCAAAGACCUUGGAUCAUUGUUACUCUAACUUUCGCGAUGCAUAUAAGGCCCUGCCCCGCCACCCUUUCGGAAAAGCUGACCACGACUCCAUUUUGUUGAUCCCUGCCUACAGACAGAAACUAAAACAAGAGGCUCCCACGCUGAGGUCUGUCCAACGCUGGUCCGACCAAGCUGACUCCACACUCCAAGACUGCUUCCAUCACGUGGACUGGGACAUGUUUCGUAUUGCGUCAGACAACAACAUUGACGAAUACGCUGAUUCGGUGUGCGAGUUCAUUAGAACGUGCGUUGAAGAUGUCGUUCCCAUAGCAACGAUUAAAACAUUCCCUAACCAGAAACCGUGGAUUGAUGGCAGCAUUCACGUUAAACUGAAAGCGCGAACCACUGCUUUUAAUCAGGGCAAGGUGUCUGGUAACAUGACCGAAUACAAACAGUGCAGCUAUUCCCUCCGCAAGGCUAUCAAACAAGCUAAGCGUCAGUACAGAGAUAAAGUAGAAUCUCAAUUCAACGGCUCAGACACAAGAGGCAUGUGGCAGGGUCUACAGUCAAUCACGGACUACAGGAAGAAAUCCAGCCCAGUCACGGACCAGGAUGUCCUGCUCCCAGGCAGACUAAAUAACUUUUUUGCCCGCUUUGAGGACAAUACAGUGCCACUGACACGGCCUGCAACGAAAACUUGCGGUCUCUCCUUCACUGCAGCCGAGGUGAGUAAGACAUUUAAACGUGUUAACCCUCGCAAGGCUGCAGGCCCAGACGGCAUCCCCAGCCGCGCCCUCAGAGCAUGCGCAGACCAGCUGGCCGGUGUGUUUACGGACAUAUUCAAUCAAUCCCUAUACCAGUCUGCUGUUCCCACAUGCUUCAAGAGGGCCACCAUUGUUCCUGNNNNNNNNNNUUACCGCCCAAAUAGGUCCACAGACGAUGCAAUCUCAACCACACUGCACACUGCCCUAACCCAUCUGGACAAGAGGAAUACCUAUGUGAGAAUGCUGUUCAUCGACUACAGCUCGGCAUUCAACACCAUAGUACCCUCCAAGCUCGUCAUCAAGCUCGAGACCCUGGGUCUCGACCCCGCCCUGUGCAACUGGGUACUGGACUUCCUGACGGGCCGCCCCCAGGUGGUGAGGGUAGGCAACAACAUCUCCUCCCCGCUGAUCCUCAACACUGGGGCCCCACAAGGGUGCGUUCUGAGCCCUCUCCUGUACUCCCUGUUCACCCACGACUGA
rnacentral:lncRNA from 13 species